rnacentral:rRNA from 1 species
UACGUAGGGAGCAAGCGUUGUCCGGAAUCAUUGGGCGUAAAGAGCGCGUAGGUGGCUUUAUAAGUCCGUUGUGAAAGUCAAAGGCUCAACCUUUGAAAGCCGAUGGAUACUGUGAAGCUAGAGUACGGAAGAGGCGAGUGGAAUUCCUGGUGUAGCGGUGGAAUGCGCAGAUAUCAGGAGGAACACCAAUAGCGAAGGCAGCUCGCUGGGACGUUACUGACACUGAGGCGCGAAAGCGUGGGGGAGCAAACAGG